rnacentral:snoRNA from 1 species
AUUUUUUUAAUAAAUAAUUUUAGUGUAUAGAAUAUAUAUCUUAAAUUUUUUAUUAAGAAAAU